rnacentral:rRNA from 1 species
AGUGGUACGCGAGCUGGGUUUAGAACGUCGUGAGACAGUUCGGUCCCUAUCUGCCGUGGGCGUUGGAUGAUUGAUUGGGGCUGCUCCUAGUACGAGAGGACCGGAGUGGACGCAUCACUGGUGUUCCAGUUGUCUCGCCAGAGGCAUUGCUGGGUAGCUAAGUGCGGAAGAGAUAAGUGCUGAAAGCAUCUAAGCACGAAACUUGCCAAGAGAUGAGUCAUCCCUGACUUUAAGUCAGUAAGGGUUGUUGUAGACUACGACGUAGAUAGGUCAGGUGU